CGGUCGGCGGCGUUCGCGGCUUCCUCACGGCCGCGUCCCUCCCUCCCCUUCCACCCUAGGCUCCGCCUCUUCGCCUCCUCCAGCAGCUGAUCCCCAGCUGCGGUCGCGCUUCCGCGGUGCGGGGCCCUUCCGCCGGCCGCCGGGCCGGAGAACGCGGGCGCCAGCUGCCCCUCCCCCGCGGACGGCGGCCGGGUGACGGCGGGCGGUGGCUUGCAGCGGCUGCUGCCCGCGCCGAAACGCGGUUGGUGCUGGACGGCGGCCCCGGCGCGCCGCACUCUGUGAAGUUGGACGCGCGUAACAAUCAGAGCGGCAGCCGGGCUGCGGGCUCCCCCUCCUCUCUUAGAGGGGCCGUGGCUCGCCCUGCGCCGCUGGCUGCCUCCUGGGGCGCUCAGUCCCUGUCCUAAUGAGGGAACACGGGAUUGGACUGGACGUCCGGAAGCAGAUGUAUUUGCAAGUCACAAGAAACAUUAUACGAACAUAGCUGUGUCUUAUUUCACUGGUAGUGGUGAGGCAAAGGUCUGGAGCGUGGAGCUCUGAGGAUGCACAGCUGUUAGCCAGUAUCACAAUACAGGCCAGAAGUAGCUGCCUUCCAGUAGUGCCCGGAGUCCCCAAAUUGAUCUCAGUGAAGAAACUGGGAAUUACAUUCUCAGGACCACAGAUGGCACAAGAGUGGUUGAAUACAACCAUUGAUGGAAAACGGAUUAAAGAAAUUCUGAAGAUGAAGAUGGGAUGAACAUGGGAAAGGUUCACCUAGCAAGCAAAAUUAUGUCUUUUUGCAAAUAGUUCAUUUGAAAGUCCAUAUUGUAACAUUCUGAACUUACUUGAAAAUCACCAAAUCCAAAAAUGAGAGCUCUAAUGGAAUAUGCUCCUUUAAAUAGGAAAAUAUGUAAUACUUUAUUUUUAGAAGUUUCCUUGGCCAGGCAGUGGUAAUGCUUGCCUUUAAUCCCAGCACUCAGGAGGCAGAGGCAGGUGAAUCUCUAUGAGUUCAAGGUCAGUCUGGUCUACAGAGCAAGUUCCAGGAAAGCCAAGGCUACACAGAAAAACCCUGUCUAGAAAAACAAAAACAAAAGUUUUAUCCUAUGAACACAAUAGUGCAGAGAUGUAAUCCAAGUACUUGGGAAGUGGAGGUAGGAGAAUCAGGAGUUCAGUGUCAACCUGGGCUACAAGAGACCCUGUCCUCAAAACAACAAUCAUAAAGUUUUAUCCAUUCAUUGCAAGGAUAUUUCUCAUCUCAGUUCCUCUGCUUGACAUACUCAACUUAAAAAUGGACUUCUGCCUUUAAAUUAAUAGGCCAUCUUUCCUUUCUGCCUUAUUUGCUUAGGGUAGAGGAGAGAGGACUAGUAAUGAUGUGUCUGGAAUGGCUUUUACUCUGUCAAUAUGUAAGGCACACCUUUUUCUCCCCCCUCUUAAUCACACACUCUAAUCCACUACUUUAAACAUGACUCUUUCCCCCCCAAUCCCUGAAAAAACCUCAGCCUAAAAAUAGUUCAGGAUCUGGUCACAAGCUAGCCCAAUUCUAGGGGCUUUGUUGGAAAGUUCCCUAAAAGUUCAGUGACCAACUAGAGCAAAGACAUAGUACCACCUAGUCUCUAUAGCCUACUGGUAUUCUGGACAGAGUUAUUAUCUUUUUUUCAAAUCUAGGGACUGAAUCUAGGGCUUUGUGCAUGCUAGGCAAGUGCUCUACCACAGACCUGUACCCUCAGCUUCUCUGGGUUAUUCCCAUUUCUGUAAAUAGGGUUGCCAGAGAAAAUAAAAGGCAUUCAUUCAGUUCAGUAUGAAUUUCA